rnacentral:lncRNA from 1 species
CUUUGGGAGAGGGUGAGUAAUCUGUUUGGCCCACACUGUGUGGACAGCCUAGCAUCCCAAUGCAGCCCCUGUUCCUGUUUCCAAAAAGAAAUUUGGAAAGCCGCCUCUGGGAGGCUGCACAGGGAUCACGGUGUUUGUGAGGACAAAGCAAGUUGGAUUUUCCUGCCGCUGUUCUUCAUCCUGCCAGAUCACGGGAGUUGUACGGGAAUGAAGGAACAAAGAGUGGAGCAGAGACCGAAGGAAAGGCCAUCCAGAGACUGCCCUACCUGGGGAUCCAUCCCAUAUGCAGACACCAAACCCAGACCCUAUUGCUGAUGCCAAGAAGUGCUUGCUGACAGAAGCCUGAUACAGCUGUCCCAAGAAGCUCUGCCAGAGCUUGACCAAUACAGAUGUGGAUGCUUGCAGCCAACCAUUUGAUUGAACACAGGGACUCCAAUGGAGGAGUUAGGGAGAGGACUGAAGGAGCUGAAAAGGUUUACAACCCCAUAGGAAGAGCAACAACAUCAACCAACCAGAUCCCCCAGAGCUCCCAGGGACUAAAUCACCUACCAAAGAGUAUACGUGAAGGGACUCAUGGCUCUAGCUGCCUAUGUAGCAGAGGAUGGCUUUGUUGGACAUCAAUGGGAGGGGAGGCCCUUGGCCUUGAGAAGGGCCUACAAUACCCCAGUGUAGGGGGAUGCUAGAGUGUUGAGGCAGGAGUGGAUGCGUGGGUGGGUGGGGGAGCACCCUCAUAGAAGCAGGGGGGAUGGGAUAGGGAGUUUGCAGAGGGAAAUCCAGGAAGGGGGACACAUUUGAAAUAAAUAAAUAAAUAACCAAUAAUAAAUAAAUAAAACAUU